AGGUGGAUGAGGCGACAAAGAUGGCGAAGAAGAUGUGGAACAGGUUCUACAAUGUCAAGAUCCGCAGCAACGCUAGGGCGGUAGAGGAGAAAAAGAAGGGAGACGAAGGGAGCGGGCGGUCGAGAGAGGGAGGAGGGGGGGACGAACGAGAAAGAAAAGAGAGCAAAAGAGGAAUAAUGGAAAUUUAGUCAGUUUAGUAAAAAGUUAGACCAGAUCUACAAAAUCUAAAAAAAUGGCCUACUUUUAUAAAAAUGCAAAAAUAUUAAAUUUUUUUAUUCACAAAGACUUUUUAUUUGAUACGGAUCAAGGCCGAAGUUUGGAAAAACUAACCAAAAUACCUCUAUUUUCUCUCUCAUUUCUCUCAUUUCUUCUUUUAAUCUUCUUGUAUUAAUUUUUAUCUUUAUUAGCCUCUCAUUUUUCUCUAUUUUUCCUUGUUUUUCUCCUCUCGCAUUAAUUGCUCUCUUUAUUGAA
rnacentral:lncRNA from 1 species